GACGAACGCUGGCGGCGUGCUUAACACAUGCAAGUCGAACGGAAAGGCACUGCUUUUGUGGGGUGCUCGAGUGGCGAACGGGUGAGUAACACGUGAGUAACCUGCCCUUGACUUUGGGAUAACUUCAGGAAACUGGGGCUAAUACCGGAUAGGAGCUCCUGCUGCAUGGUGGGGGUGGGAAAGUUUCGGCGGUUGGGGAUGGACUCGCGGCUUAUCAGCUUGUUGGUGGGGUAGUGGCUUACCAAGGCUUUGACGGGUAGCCGGCCUGAGAGGGUGACCGGCCACAUUGGGACUGAGAUACGGCCCAGACUCCUACGGGAGGCAGCAGUGGGGAAUAUUGCACAAUGGGCGGAAGCCUGAUGCAGCAACGCCGCGUGCGGGAUGACGGCCUUCGGGUUGUAAACCGCUUUCGCCUGUGACGAAGCGUGAGUGACGGUAAUGGGUAAAGAAGCACCGGCUAACUACGUG
rnacentral:rRNA from 1 species